UCAGUGAUUUGGGGACAUUUAUAGGACUUGGCACUGUGACUGGGUCUGUAGCUAUCUACAUUGCUUUCUCUCUCCAGCAAGUUUACUACGUGAAAGAAACACACGGGAUAGUGGUGACUGACCUGGCCUUUCUACCUAAUGUCCAUCGAGCCAGGGAGGUGACUGGAGAGAACGAGGCUGCAUUGCUGAGUGUAGCUGUAGACAGCCGAUGUAAAUUGCAUCUGGUUCCCAGCAGGCAAAUGUUCCCAAUCUGGGUGGUCUUGCUGCUCUGUGGACUGAUCAUCGUGCUCACAAUCCUCCUUUUGCAGCAUCUGUUUCCUGGACUGUUGUAAUUUUCUUUCUCAGGAAGAUGCUGCUACACAUAAUGUGAUCUUAGUAGAACUGGACUGAAAUUAAUCCUGAAAUGAACAGCCAUGUUAUGGGCUUCUCGACACUCCUUGUGCAAUAUGAAGUGUCUGUGAAAUAGUGCAAUCCAGUGCGCAGGGAUACGUUUCACACUAUACACAGCAAGGACCUUCUGUUCACACCAAUUCUCAUUCAGGUAGUAAAUUCUAACGCAAGUAACUAUGUUUCUAACUGCAUUUCCACUGAUUUUGUGCAUCUUUCCAUUAACCAAUCCUUCCCUGAUCCCUUAUGUUUUAUUUUCUCUUGUUCUCAUUAAAUCAGUCCCUGAUUUUGUA